UAGGGAAUCUUCGGCAAUGGGGGGAACCCUGACCGAGCAACGCCGCGUGAGUGAAGAAGGUUUUCGGAUCGUAAAGCUCUGUUGUUAAGGAAGAACGAGUGUGAGAAUGGAAAGUUCAUGCUGUGACGGUACUUAACCAGAAAGGGACGGCUAACUACGUGCCAGCAGCCGCGGUAAUACGUAGGUCCCGAGCGUUGUCCGGAUUUAUUGGGCGUAAAGCGAGCGCAGGCGGUUAGAAAAGUCUGAAGUGAAAGGCAGUGGCUCAACCAUUGUAGGCUUUGGAAACUGUUUAACUUGAGUGCAGAAGGGGAGAGUGGAAUUCCAUGUGUAGCGGUGAAAUGCGUAGAUAUAUGGAGGAACACCGGUGGCGAAAGCGGCUCUCUGGUCUGUAACUGACGGUGAGGCUCGAAAGCGUGGGGAGCGAACAGG
rnacentral:rRNA from 1 species